rnacentral:lncRNA from 1 species
GACUUAUUUAUGUUUACUGUUUUGAGUUUAUUUUUUUGCGGUGUCACUCUGAUAGUGUAACAUCGAGACAUAUUUUUUUAUUUUUUAUUUUUUGAGAUAUAUGGAUUUAUUUAAAUAUGUUGAGAUGUUUUUAGUUGAGAUGAAAUGACUUGAAUUUCUGAUGCGUUGUUAUAAAGUAUUAUUUUAGAAGCAUGCUUAUUUGAGGAGGAUGUGUGACAUCAUU